GUCAUUCCCUGCCCGAAAAGACACAUCCUCGUCCCCUGCUAGCCCCCAGAGGCGCUGGCCGUGCUUUGUAACCCUGCACCACCGUCGCAGCAAGCCCCCUUGUCGGGUAGCCGCCAGUCACUUCUGCCCCUGCUGCAGCUAGCGCCGUCCAAACCUCCUCCGCGUGCCACCCGUCCUUGGACCCCUCCCCUGCGCCACCCUCUUAUCCCUGCCCCUGGUGCGUUCUGCUGCUUCCCCUACUGUUGCCAGAGUCUGCCGCCGUCGAGCUUAUCCGGGAGCCCGGCUAACUGACUCGACCACAGCUAUUUAAGGCCCAGUGAGAGUGCCGCUACCGGUGCCGGCCAAAAUUCCUUUCUCUUAGUAGCCCCCUCCCCUGGCCCUCUUCUUCAGAAGCCCUUAGAAGGCCCCGGAAGCUCAUUCCCCUCCUCUCACCACCCGAAGAGAGCUCAUGGAAGGAGCCCAUUUCUCGGCGAAGCCGCCGGCCACCAUUGCCGCAGCUGCGUGAAAUGCAGACCGUAUCGACGUCUCUCUCCACUCCCCCGGGGUGAGGCUCUCUCCCCUGAGCACACAUGUGUGCGGAGUACUAGGAGAGACGUCCCCUAGCGCCGGUAAGCAUCACCGGAGCCCGCCCGUGACCCUGUUCCUGCGCGUGGGAGGUAGGAGAGGAACCAGACAGGUGAGCCCCGCCUGUCGGUGAGCAAGCCAAGCCCCCGAUUGGGGGAGAACCUGAUACGAUUUUGGAGAGAGGAGACUUACUUCAAGAUUUUUGGGGUGCACACCACCCUCCUCAACUCCAAAGGCAAGCAUCUUGAACCCUAGUUUGUUUGGCUUGUGUAAUGUUUGCUGUGAUGAAAUGGACUUCGUGGUAUUAUUAUGCUUAUAAAAACCCCACACAAGAUCAUGCUUGCAUAAAUACUUGUAAUGAAAAUUCUGUUUGUUACUGAAUACAUGUGAUGCAAAGUUGAGUGGGUACUAACUCAUGCCUCGUAUGCCAUGCUAGUCUGGACAACCUCGGAGGAAGGUGUGUCGUCGAGAGUAUGAGACCAUCGGACCGACAUCUCGUGGGACGAGAGUGGUCAGUGAAGGCAUGUCGGGGCGUGAUGGUGGUAACCCUGAGAUUACAUUGGAGAGGAGCACAAUGUCAUCAACCCUGGAGAUCUAGGAGUCGAGGAUGGAAGCCUCGUGAGAUAGGAAAUUUAUCCAGGUUAGUUGUUCCUGUGGGAAUGGAGUCCCAUGGGCACCGGAGAUUCCUCGAGUCGCUUCCGCCGUCAUCCUCAGACUUUUGUCCAAACCAGUAGACCUUCAUAGUCCUGUAACCCAGAUUUUGUAAUUUGCUUGGGAUUUCUGUAUCAAGUGAGUGUACACCAGCUAACAGUAGUCCCAGGGCUGGUGAACACAAAGUCCUGUUUUCUCGAAAUGAUUUUUUGAAAAA